rnacentral:rRNA from 1 species
UAGUCCACGCCCUAAACGAUGCUAACUCGAUGUUUGGAUUUAGAUCUGAGCAUCCAAGGGAAACCGUUAAGUUGACCGCCUGGGGAGUACGCCGGCAACGGUAAAACUCAAAUGAAUUGACGGGGGCCCGCACAAGCGGUGGAGCAUGUGGUUUAAUUCGAUGCAACGCGAAAAACCUUACCUACCCUUGACAUCCUCAGAACUUGUUAGAGAUAACUUGGUGCCUUCGGGAACUGAGUGACAGGUGCUGCAUGGCUGUCGUCAGCUCGUGUCGUGAGAUGUUGGGUUAAGUCCCGCAACGAGCGCAACCCUUGUCCCUAGUUGCCAGCACGUAAAGGUGGGAACUCUAGGGAGACUGCCGGUGACAAACCGGNGGAAGGUGGGGAUGACGUCAAGUCAUCAUGGGCCCUUAUGGGGUAGGGGCUAC